rnacentral:lncRNA from 1 species
AGCGGGUCCCAGCUGACGGAAGGUGGGGGAGGAGUGCGAGGGUCUCUGAGACAGGUUGGGAGCCAGCCCCACCUCCAUUUCCAAAGCGGGGGUCCAGGCACAGGAACAGCCAAACGCCCGAACCAGCGGGGUUACCUUUGCCACUUCAUCCAAUCCGAGCAUCGGCUGGAAACUGGGAAGUUUGUCAGACAAAGCUCUUCAGGUUACUGGCAAUUUAUGUGCUGGGAGGUGGAUUUGUGGGCAGAGCUCCGGCUGACCUGGUGUUGUCCUGCUAUGGCUACAGACUUCUGACUAUGCUUAUCAGAAAAACUUUCAUUUGGUUCAAGGAUUUUUGCUGACAAGUUUAUUUAAUCCCUGAACCUGGAUCCAAGGCAUCUCCCUGUAGAAAACAUCAGACCGGGGCAGAGAUUGACAAAGCAACCCAAAGCAGCAGCUGCCAACGGCCGCUGUGCCCACCUCAUCAGCAGCUAAAGAGUAUAAUUUUAAAAAAAGUCACAGAAGAAUGUGGAGACACUUAGCAAAACGGACUCUCAUAAGGAGGCUGAUGGACUACAUCCAUGGGGUACUUUGUCCUCUGGCUUCCAAUUAGAUUCAGACAACAGGAAGCAUCAACAGCUAAUGGGAGACGAAGAGGAAAAAUUGGGGUACCUAUUCCCCUAGAUUACUCCCUGCUGAUUGCUGCAGAGGGGCUUCAUCCUUGCCCUGGUUUCUGGAAAACACUCUUUCAUUGCCCAUGCAGGCCUAGGAGUGAUGAUGCCUCACUGGAUGGCAAAGUCUCUUAUUGGUUUCCCUAAAUCUUACUCACAACUUGUAGAUACUCCCUCUAUUAAAUCCUUUUCAGUUACCC